AUAAACAGGAAUAUUUGGAUGUUUUGGGAAGACCAAUGGUUUUAGCAGGAGACAAAGCUAAGCAAGUCCAAUGGACAAAUGUGUACCUGGAUGCAUUGGAACUGGGACUUGUCAUUACUGGAACUCUUCCGGUCUUCAACAUAACCGGCCAAUUUGAAAAUAAGACAAACUUAAAGAACCAGCUGAUUCUUGGUGUGAUGGGAGUAGAUGUGUCUUUGGAAGAUAUUAAAAGAUUGACACCACGUUUUACACUGUGCCCCAAUGGGUAUUACUUUGCAAUCGAUCCUAAUGGUUAUGUUUUAUUACAUCCAAAUCUUCAGCCAAAGGUCAGUAUAUAAUUUGUUUACAGUGAUUAGUGUUUUGUAGAAUUAAUGAUUAAUGUUCUUAAUAGGAUUGUUGUUUUAAAAUUUACCGUAUA
rnacentral:sRNA from 1 species